UAUGGUCGUAUGAUGAUUUAUAAUGCAUAGUUCAGAUGAAUAUCUGUGAUUAUUAUAUUUCUUAGUCUUUCGCUCCUAUCUGACGACCUAU